rnacentral:miRNA from 1 species
CACCUUUAAGUAGAAAUUGACC